UAGAGUUUGAUCCUGGCUCAGGAUGAACGCUAGCGGCAGGCCUAAUACAUGCAAGUCGAGGGGCAGCAUAUCUUUCGGGAUGAUGGCGACCGGCGCACGGGUGCGUAACGCGUAUGCAACCUACCUUAUACAGGGGGAUAGCCCGGGGAAACUCGGGUUAAUACCCCAUAGUCUUAUAGAUUCGCAUGAUGAAAUAAGUAAAGAUUUAUUGGUAUAAGAUGGGCAUGCGUAAGAUUAGUUAGUUGGUGAGGUAACGGCUCACCAAGACGAUGAUCUUUAGGGGGUCUGAGAGGAUGAUCCCCCACACUGGUACUGAGAUACGGACCAGACUCCUACGGGAGGCAGCAGUAGGGAAUAUUGGUCAAUGGGCGAGAGCCUGAACCAGCCAUGCCGCGUGUAGGAAGACGGCCUUCUGGGUUGUAAACUACUUUUAUACAGGAAGAAAACGGUCUUGCGAGACUAACUGACGGUACUGUAUGAAUAAGCACCGGCUAACUCCGUGCCAGCAGCCGCGGUAAUACGGAGGGUGCAAGCGUUGUCCGGAUUUAUUGGGUUUAAAGGGUACGUAGGCGGCUCUUUAAGUCAGUGGUGAAAAUCCCGCAGCUUAACUGUGGAACUGCC
rnacentral:rRNA from 1 species